rnacentral:rRNA from 1 species
UACAGAGGUCUCAAGCGUUGUUCGGAUUCAUUGGGCGUAAAGGGUGCGUAGGCGGCGCGGUAAGUCGGGUGUGAAAUCUCGGAGCUUAACUCCGAAACUGCAUUCGAUACUGCCGUGCUUGAGGACUGGAGAGGAGACUGGAAUUUACGGUGUAGCGGUGAAAUGCGUAGAUAUCGUAAGGAAGACCAGUGGCGAAGGCAGGUCUCUGGGCCACUACUGACGCUGAGAAGCGAAAGCGUGGGGAGCGAACAGG